UACGUAGGGGGCGAGCGUUGUCCGGAUUCAUUGGGCGUAAAGCGCGUGUAGGCGGUCCGGUAAGUCCGCUGUGAAAGUCGGGGGCUCAACCCUCGAUGCCGGUGGAUACUGUCGGGCUUGAGUACGGAAGAGGCGAGUGGAAUUCCGGGUGGAGUGGUGAAAUGCGUAGAUAUCCGGAGGAACACCAAUGGCGAAGGCAGUGUCCUGGGAAGUACCUGACGCUCAGGUGCGAAAGCUAGGGGAGCGAACAGG
rnacentral:rRNA from 1 species